rnacentral:tRNA from 1 species
AAAUCCGUCGACUUUANAAAUCGUGAGG